rnacentral:tRNA from 1 species
CGGUAACCUGGUCGGGGCGCAGACGCUGGCUGGCCUCCAGAGGGUGGGCCAGGGGUUCGAUGCCGUUGGUGUCGAC